CGGCGACGACCACGAUCUAGCGCCACUUCCACCGGUACCUCUCUCCGAUCCUCUCCAACCUAGGGUUCCAAGAGCUUGCCAUGGCCGUCCUCUCCCUCUCCUCCACUCUCUUUCUUCAUAUUCCCUCCUAAAAUUAUGCUCCGAUCAGCGCUCUGACGAGGCGGUGUGAAAUCAAAUCCCUUGAAAUAAACCCUAAGAUUUCCCCAAUUUCUGUUCACAUGUUGCUUUUUGAUGUAGCUUCCAGCGCCCGGUCAUUGAAAUCUCAGGGAUUCUCCCGCUUCUCCACCGUCACUGAAGCAUCGCCGGCCCUCGGAAUGGCUCCGAUAACUGAUUUAACGUUGAAAUCAAGGUUUUUAGAUUCAAUUGUUAGGGGUAAAUGGUUUUUGAUGAUGAAUUUACAGAUGAGAGUAAGGAAUCUCAUCAGAGGGGAGUUCUUGGAGUCCCAAUCGGAGUCUUCAAUCGAUGUUAUUAAUACUAUAAGUCUCGAUCUUUUCACUUUAUGCUUUCCCAGUGGAUUGUUAUUGAAUUUGCUGAAAAAAGUGUUUUUUAAAUAAUAAUAGGCGACACAAGAAGUAGUUUCUAGGAUUCCAUUGACUACAGACGAAGAGUUUAAAGCGGCGGUUAGCGCUGCGAAAAAAGCUUUUCCUAAAUGGAAGAAUACUCCAGUUACUUCAAGGCAGUGAGUUAUGUUCAAGCUCCAAGAGCUCAUUCGAAGAGUCAUGGAUAAGCUUGCUAUGAAUAUUACAACUGAAUAGGCGAAGACACUUAAAGAUGCUCAGGGUGAUGUUUUCCGUGGUUUAGAGGUGGUGGAGCAUGCUUGUGGGAUGGCAACACUCCAGAUGGGGGAAUACGUGUCAAAUGUUUCAAGUGGAAUCGAUUCAAGGAAACCAAGUUCUACAAUUGGUUUGACUCUGCUUGCUACUUCAACUAAAUCAUAUAUAGAUAAAUAAUCACUAGAUAUUUGUUCUAAGGUCUAGUUAUCUAUGUAGAUGUUCCCAAUGGCUGUGACAUGUGGUAACACUUUUGUUUGCUACAUUUUUUAUAAGUAAUUUGAGGACAUAGACACUACAUUAACCCCCACUAAAAAAACAAUAAAGAGAAAAUCAAAACAUCAUUAUUACUUAUGCAGACUGGUUACUUGCUGGUUUAUGUAUCCAUAUAUUAUCCUAUACUAUGUGAUUUGGUGAAGGGGUAAUAAAAAUAUAGCUAUAUAGUAUAUAGUAAUAUUAGCAUACUGUGAGCUAGUCUGAGCUUACUUGUGGUUGCCUAAUGCUGGUUAUAUGAGCUUGUUUGCAUACUCUGAUGGCUUGCCUAAUGACAUUUCAUGUUCUCCUUCCUCCCUAUUAUUUUUGAUAAAUAUUGUUGAACGUGUUUAUAUUUUUGAUGUUCACCAUGUAUUUUUGAUGUUGCAAGUUUCGUGGAUUUUUUUAAUUUUUAUUUUUAGUUUUAAGGGCUUGGAGAAAAUGUAGUAGUAAGUUGAUUUUUGUAAUAAAUUUUGUAGUAAGCUAAAGAGCUAUCAAUAUAUAGAAAUAUUAUUUUUCUUUAUUAUCAAUAAACUCGAAAUCAAGUCUUUUUAUGAAAAUACUAUAUGGAUUGUUAUUUUGUUCCUAAGCAUCUAAAGGUUGUUAUAUACUUUUUUAAAUAUGCACUAAAUAUAAUGACAACGGAGUUAAAGUUUCAAUUCCUCUAUUUAUUCCUUGCAAGAAACAUACAUCCCAGAAAAUAGUGCAUCAAAUCAUUUAGUCAAUCAAAUUUUGUAAUCAAUUUGCAUUUUUUAUCCAAAUAAUCUUAUAUUGAUACUGAUUUGUGUAUCAUGUACUAAUUGAGACACUAUUAUAGUUUAAUCAAAUCAUAUGUCAUAUUUUACCACUAAAAUGCAUGCUGUCUCCCCCCUUAAUGUAGACAAAAAGCUCCUCAACAUAGAGCAAUUAAGUGAGGGUUAUGUUGAAGAUUACCCAAUGUUUUCAUGUGUUGACUACUAAGCUUCUUGGAAAUCAUGACAUGUAAAAACUAGAGCAGGCUCUAGUGGACUUGUUCGGAUCCUUCAUAUGUAUGGAUUUAAUGUUCACAAAGUCAAAGACAUGAUAUGUAUGAACGUAUGAUGCAUUUUUCAAUCUUAUGUGUACUAACUUAAGGAUUUAAUAAAUUUAAAAAGUAUGUAUGUAUAUCGUCGUGUUGUGCUUGUCCAUUUUCCUUAGGGGCUAUAUGUUUGCAUAAGGGGGAUGGCGAGGGUUAUUGCGAGGGCGAGGGUGAGAGUUAUGGCGAGGGUGAGGGUUAGGGUUAGGUGAGUGUUAGG